rnacentral:rRNA from 3 species
AUAUCAAUAAGCGGAGGAAAAGAAACCAACAGGGAUUGCCCCAGUAACGGCGAGUGAAGCGGCAACAGCUCAAAUUUGAAAUCUGGCCCCCAGGGCCCGAGUUGUAAUUUGCAGAGGAUGCUUUUGGCGACGCGCCUUCCGAGUUCCCUGGAACGGGACGCCAUAGAGGGUGAGAGCCCCGUCUGGUUGGACGCCGAGCCUCUGUAAAGCUCCUUCGACGAGUCGAGUAGUUUGGGAAUGCUGCUCUAAAUGGGAGGUAUAUGUCUUCUAAAGCUAAAUACCGGCCAGAGACCGAUAGCGCACAAGUAGAGUGAUCGAAAGAUGAAAAGCACUUUGAAAAGAGGGUUAAAUAGUACGUGAAAUUGUUGAAAGGGAAGCGCUCACGACCAGACUUGAGCCCGGUGAAUCAUCCAGCGUUCUCGCUGGUGCACUUCGCCGGGCCCAGGCCAGCAUCGGUUCGCCGCGGGGGAGAAAGGCGUCGGGAACGUGGCUCCCUCGGGAGUGUUAUAGCCCGUCGCACAAUACCCUGGGGCGGACCGAGGUUCGCGCAUCUGCAAGGAUGCUGGCGUAAUGGUCGUCAGCGACCCGUCUUGAAACACGGACCAAGGAGUCGUCUUCGUAUGCGAGUGUUCGGGUGUAAAACCCCUACGCGUAAUGAAAGUGAACGCAGGUGAGAGCUUCGGCGCAUCAUCGACCGAUCCUGAUGUUCUCGGAUGGAUUUGAGUAAGAGCAUACGGGGCCGGACCCGAAAGAAGGUGAACUAUGCCUGUGUAGGGUGAAGCCAGAGGAAACUCUGGUGGAGGCUCGCAGCGGUUCUGACGUGCAAAUCGAUCGUCAAACAUGGGCAUGGGGGCGAAAGACUAAUCGAACCUUCUAGUAGCUGGUUUCCGCC